GAAACCCAGUGGAGGCUAAAGAAAGGAGGGCCCUCUCUCCUAGAGAAGGCUCAGUAGGCUCCCGAGGAAAGGGAAGGAGCAACUUUUUCCGUUGGCGCCCAAUGCACCAUAAGCGUUAUGUGUGUUUGUAAACACACACGGGGGUGUACACAGGGGUAGGGACAUAUUUCCCUCAAAUCAACUCCCUCUGAAUCACCCUAUUUGGAGGGAGACACUAUUCUCCAUUUCCGCUCGGCCACUUCCAGCCUCACCCGCUCUUUAUAAUCUUCAGUGAGGAAAUGCCUCUCACAGUCACUCUUCCUUCCCUACCAUGGCACCGAACCACAGAUUCCCAGCAUUGAACAAUGGCCAUGGAAGAUGUAUCUGGUUGAGUUUGUUGUUUGUGUUUUUUUUCUUUUCCUUUUUCUUAAUAGAAUUCCUUCAAUUACACGUAUGUUUUCAGCAGCCGGGCCAAUCCUCCUCCUCACAGGGGUGAGGUCAGCAAACCCAGGAAGCUCUCAGAGCCAAGAAAGCCUCAGAUCCAGGAGGAAGUAGUUAUGGAUGCCCAUAGCUGAAGUGCUCUGUGUCCACUGGAAGUAAAAGGAGCAGGUUCCUGCCGAAGAAUGUACAGACGACGUGAAAUCAUGUGUGGCUACACUGAAGCUAAAGGCUGCCAGCCAACCAUAGCCAGUUGGGGAUAUAAACCUCUAAAAACCAAAACUGGGGAAAAAUGGCUCCCCAUUUUCUGAGGUACUCUUGGAGCACAAGCUGAAUGAAAACCAAUCAUCAUUGCCCUGCCUAGCAUGAAGCAGAAUGAAAAGAAGGCAGAUAAUAUUUCCUCCCCUGAACCACUCAUCCAUAUCUGCUCUAUUCAGAUAUUUGUGCCUAGGCAACUGCACCCACCCCUCUCAGCAUUUACCCACAGAUCCUCAAAACCAAGCCCUAGCACAAUCGACUC
rnacentral:lncRNA from 10 species